rnacentral:lncRNA from 1 species
CGACGUCGGCGAGGGCGGCGGAGGACAGCGACGACGCGAGCGGCGACAAGAGCGGUGACGACACGAGCGGCGACGAGAGCGGCGACGACGCGAGCGGCAACGAGAGCGGCGACGACGCGACCCUUGGUCGCGAGUUCGCGACCGCAAUCGCCGAUUUUUUGGGCGACUUAUUCGCGAAUCGCGAAUAAUUCGCUAAUAAUGAUUUUUGACGAAGAAAUCGCGUUUUUUUUCAAAAUUUUCGAAAAAAUACGGAAAUCGCCGUUUAAUUUGUAUGUUAAAAAAUACGCGAAUAAUUCGCGUAUUAAUCGCAAAUUAACUAACUAAGGUCUCGAGUACAUAAAAAUUAAAAUAUUUAUAA